rnacentral:rRNA from 1 species
AAGAAGGCCUUAGGGUUGUAAAGCACUUUAAUUCGGGAAGAACAAGCUCAAACUAAUACUUUGAGCCCUGACGGUACCGAAAGAAUAAGCACCGGCUAACUCUGUGCCAGCAGCCGCGGUAAUACAGAGGGUGCGAGCGUUAAUCGGAUUUACUGGGCGUAAAGCGUGCGUAGGAGGCUUGUUAAGUCGGUUGUGAAAUCCCCGGGCUCAACCUGGGAACUGCAGUCGAUACUGGCAAGCUAGAGUUCGGUAGAGGGUGGCGGAAUUUCCGGUGUAGCGGUGAAA